UUAGGGUUACGGCUUUUAGCUAGAGGUUAGGGUUAGGGUUAGGGUUACAGCUUUUAGCCACUUGUAGCCAGAGGUUAGGGUUAGGGUUACAGCUUUUAGCUAGAGGUUAGGGUUAGGGUUAGGGUUACAGCUUUUAGCUAGAGGUUAGGGUUAGGGUUACGGCUUUUAGCUAGAGGUUAGGGUUAGGGUUAGGGUUACAGCUUUUAGCUAGAGGUUAGGGUUAGGGUUACGGCUUUUAGCUAGAGGUUAGGGUUAGGGUUAGGGUUACAGCUUUUAGCCACUUGUAGCCAGAGGUUAGGGUUAGGGUUACAGCUUUUAGCUAGAGGUUAGGGUUAGGGUUACAGCUUUUAGCUAGAGGUUAGGGUUAGGGUUACAGCUUUUAGCUAGAGGUUAGGGUUAGGGUUACAGCUUUUAGCCACUUGUAGCUAGAGGUUAGGGUUAGGGUUACGGCUUUUAGCUAGAGGUUAGGGUUAGGGUUACAGCUUUUAGCCACUUGUAGCCAGAGGUUAGGGUUAGGGUUACAGCUUUUAGCUAGAGGUUAGGGUUAGGGUUAGGGUUACAGCUUUUAGCCACUUGUAGCUAGAGGUUAGGGUUAGGGUUACGGCUUUUAGCUAGAGGUUAGGGUUAGGGUUACAGCUUUUAGCUAGAGGUUAGGGUUAGGGUUAGGGUUACAGCUUUUAGCCACUUGUAGCCAGAGGUUAGGGUUAGGGUUACAGCUUUUAGCUAGAGGUUAGGGUUAGGGUUACAGCUUUUAGCUAGAGGUUAGGGUUAUGGCUUUUAGCCAGAAAUCACUUGUAGCUAGAGCUUAGCUAAAGUUUUUAGUCUCAAUUAUACAUUAUAAUUGCAAGCUGAGUGACAUUAAUUUGAAAAUAAAGAAACUCAACUCAAAAGUUAAGCUGCAAAAC